CUCUGCGGCGCGGAGGGUCAGUGGAAGGAAGGCUGCGGCGCUUUAGGCGCGCCCAUGUCGGGGAUUUGAGGUUGUUUCUGAGUCACAAUGCAAAUAUGUAACCAUACUCACCUCCAAAAGUCCCAGGUUUGAACCCCGACGAUGGAUGGCUUCUUGUUAAACUCACGCCAUGAGAAGCUGUGGAUCGAUUUCAAGAAAACCUAGCUGACGUUGAAGAAACGAGAACAUGCUGGGAACAUUUGAAAACAGUGUGACCUCUAAAGGGCAGGCGUGUCUGAACACUUCCAACCCCACACACGGCUGGCAGAAUGGACACUCUCACCAGGACUUUCCCCUCCAAACAUAGACUGUUUUCUCUAGAAAAGAGGUAGUAUAUCUAUCAUUACAGAGGGCAAUUUGUAUGGUGGUAUUGUGUGUUCUUUUUUUUUUUUUUUAGCAAAUACCAAAAUAAAAUUAUGUAAGAAAAUAUACUAGCUUGCAAAUCAAGGUUGCCUAGAAACGUUCUUCACUGACACACUGUGCCUCAGCAUUUUGGGAUAUGGUCAUUGAAAGUGGAAGAGUGUGCACUGUCUUUUACCACAGCUCCUUUGUCUUCAUUCCCUUUCCACGCCCCCAUUCUCUACUAUGAAAUUUAAGGCCCCCCACACAAAAGACAAGUUCAAGUAUGCAGGUAUGAAAAGACGUUAACAUUCUAAAAAUACAUUUUUUUUUUUUGCAGACAGCAAUUAUAAUUGGAGCAAAUCACAGAGUAUUCAAAGUGGAACAAAUAAUUGUCUCAAUUCGUUUCAGACUUUAAAAUUCCUUCCCUUCAAGGAUGAAAUGAUGUAGUGAUUUGUAUAGUAACACAGUUGAGACUCUUUAGGAAAGACCAUGAGUCUAAUUGCUAACUAUUCCAAUCUUCUACCCAGUAGAGCCAUAUAAAGAUGGGAGAGAAUCACAGUUAUUUAUAAAUACUACUAUGUGUUGUUAAGUGUUAGCAUAAACAAGGUAACAGUGUUGAUUAUGAUAUUGUAGUCAUAUAGUCUUGGAAAUAAGCCAAAAGACCAUAAGUAGCAUAUCUUCUUUUUCCAGGAACAUAUUUCCACAUUGUUUGCAUGAGUCUGCAUUAUUAUAUAUCAUAAAAACUCACAGAAUUCUAACAUGGUCUAUUCUAUAAGUGAAAAUAGCCUCAAAUGACAUAGAAAUAUUUCUCUUGCUUGUCAUCAUUUGCCAUUUUGAGUAAAAUGAAUUGAAGCAAAGUACUUGUGGAAUAGGCAUUUCCUAGAGGUUCUUGGUAUGCUUGGCAAAAAUAAAACAUUUUAUUUAGCAU
ensembl:processed_transcript A430018G15Rik RIKEN cDNA A430018G15 gene